rnacentral:sRNA from 1 species
CGCGCGGAGGUUCUCAGCUUCCCCAGGAGCAAGACCUCUGAGCCCGCCAAGCGCUGCCGCACGGCCCUCGGCAGCGAUGGCACUGAAGGACUACGCGCUAGAGAAGGAAAAGGUUAAGAAGUUCUUACAAGAGUUCUACCAGGAUGAUGAACUUGGGAAGAAGCAGUUCAAGUAUGGGAACCAGUUGGUUCGGCUGGCCCAUCGGGAACAGGUGGCUCUGUAUGUGGACCUGGACGACGUAGCCGAGGAUGACCCCGAGUUGGUGGACUCAAUUUGUGAGAAUGCCAGGCGCUACGCGAAGCUCUUUGCUGAUGCCGUACAAGAGCUGCUGCCUCAGUACAAGGAGAGGGAAGUGGUAAAUAAAGAUGUCCUGGACGUUUACAUUGAGCAUCGGCUAAUGAUGGAGCAGCGGAGUCGGGACCCUGGGAUGGUCCGAAGCCCCCAGAACCAGUACCCUGCUGAACUCAUGCGCAGAUUGUGAGUGGUCUCUGUCGGGAAAGAUGUAGGGAUUGGUUCUCCAGGAUCUUGUUUGUGACUGUUUUCUCCCCUUAGUGAGCUGUAUUUUCAAGGCCCUAGCAGCAACAAGCCUCGUGUGAUCCGGGAAGUGCGGGCUGACUCUGUGGGGAAGUUGGUAACUGUGCGUGGAAUCGUCACUCGUGUCUCUGAAGUCAAACCCAAGAUGGUGGUGGCCACUUACACUUGUGACCAGUGUGGGGCAGAGACCUACCAGCCGAUCCAGUCUCCCACUUUCAUGCCUCUGAUCAUGUGCCCAAGCCAGGAGUGCCAAACCAACCGCUCAGGAGGGCGGCUGUAUCUGCAGACACGGGGCUCCAGAUUCAUCAAAUUCCAGGAGAUGAAGAUUCAAGAACAUAGUGAUCAGGUGCCUGUGGGAAAUAUCCCUCGUAGUAUCACAGUGCUGGUAGAAGGAGAGAACACAAGGAUUGCCCAGCCUGGAGACCACGUCAGCGUCACUGGUAUCUUCUUGCCAAUCCUGCGCACUGGGUUCCGACAGGUGGUACAGGGUUUACUCUCAGAAACCUACCUGGAAGCCCAUCGGAUUGUGAAGAUGAACAAGAGUGAGGAUGAUGAGUCUGGGGCUGGAGAGCUCACCAGGGAGGAGCUGAGGCAAAUUGCAGAGGAGGAUUUCUACGAAAAGCUGGCAGCUUCAAUCGCCCCAGAAAUAUACGGGCACGAAGAUGUGAAGAAGGCACUGCUGCUCCUGCUAGUGGGGGGUGUGGACCAGUCUCCUCGAGGCAUGAAAAUCCGGGGCAACAUCAACAUCUGUCUGAUGGGGGAUCCUGGUGUGGCCAAGUCUCAGCUCCUGUCAUACAUCGAUCGGCUGGCGCCCCGCAGCCAGUACACAACAGGCCGGGGCUCCUCAGGAGUGGGGCUUACGGCAGCUGUGCUGAGAGACUCCGUGAGCGGAGAACUGACCUUAGAGGGUGGGGCCCUGGUGCUGGCUGACCAGGGUGUGUGCUGCAUUGAUGAGUUCGACAAGAUGGCUGAGGCCGACCGCACAGCCAUCCACGAGGUCAUGGAGCAGCAGACCAUCUCCAUUGCCAAGGCCGGCAUUCUCACCACACUCAAUGCCCGCUGCUCCAUCCUGGCUGCCGCCAACCCUGCCUACGGGCGCUACAACCCUCGCCGCAGCCUGGAGCAGAACAUACAGCUACCUGCUGCACUGCUCUCCCGGUUUGACCUCCUCUGGCUGAUUCAGGACCGGCCCGACCGAGACAAUGACCUACGGUUGGCCCAGCACAUCACCUAUGUGCACCAGCACAGCCGGCAGCCCCCCUCCCAGUUUGAACCUCUGGACAUGAAGCUCAUGAGGCGUUACAUAGCCAUGUGCCGCGAGAAGCAGCCCAUGGUGCCAGAGUCUCUGGCUGACUACAUCACAGCAGCAUACGUGGAGAUGAGGCGAGAGGCUUGGGCUAGUAAGGAUGCCACCUAUACUUCUGCCCGGACCCUGCUGGCUAUCCUGCGCCUUUCCACUGCUCUGGCACGUCUGAGAAUGGUGGAUGUGGUGGAGAAAGAAGAUGUGAAUGAAGCCAUCAGGCUAAUGGAGAUGUCAAAGGACUCUCUUCUAGGAGACAAGGGGCAGACAGCUAGGACUCAGAGGCCAGCAGAUGUGAUAUUUGCCACCGUUCGUGAACUGGUCUCAGGGGGCCGAAGUGUCCGGUUCUCUGAGGCAGAGCAGCGCUGUGUAUCUCGUGGCUUCACACCCGCCCAGUUCCAGGCGGCUCUGGAUGAAUAUGAGGAGCUCAAUGUCUGGCAGGUCAAUGCUUCCCGGACACGGAUCACUUUUGUCUGAUUCCAGCCUGCUUGCAACCCUGGGGUCCUCUUGUUCCCUGCUGGCCUGCCCCUUGGGAAGGGGCAGUGAUGCCUUUGAGGGGAAGGAGGAGCCCCUCUUUCUCCCAUGCUGCACUUACUCCUUUUGCUAAUAAAAGUGUUUGUAGAUUGUCAUCUUCUAGCCUGGGCCUGACUUCCAUUAAAACAGAGUAUUGUGCGUUUUUUA